GCUCUCCUAUCAAAGGCAAUCGAAAGUUUCGAUUGCCGGAGACGGAAAAAGAGGCAAAAAACGAACCAGUUUAAUUGUAGAACAUGCAAACAAACGGUUGUUUCAAAAGGAAAGGAAAAAACGGUGGGUGUUGGGUUAGAAAACAAGUGUCAAGUCACAGUUAACCCUGACACGCGAAUCGAAUGAUUGCAGGCGAAAUAGACGAAAAUGCAUGCGCUAAAAAGAAAAAGCUAGACGCUGGAAGUUGGGCACGUCCUUGAAAGAGGGAAAAUUGGACUGAUCAGUUAAGACGGUUGCAAAUCGCUUCAGACACGGUAGAAAAGUAGAGGUCGAAAACGAAAAUUGCCCUCGUUUCUGCAGUGCGCGUUUGCAAUGGAUACUUGAGAAACAAGAACUUUCAUUUGCAGAUGGAGUGGGAAGAAUGAACAACUUUUGACUGGUGAAGUGGAAACCUUGGAAACGAGGCCGGAAAAGGUCUCUAACCUAUUUUUACUGUCCAUCUUAAUACCUCGUUGAGAAAUCACAGGUAGAUUUUACUUGCCCCGCCUUUCUCAUGAUUUAUUUACCGGAGCAGUUCUCGGGGAACGAUGGAGGACCCCAACUUGGCAAACUUUUCGUGCCAGACAUUAAACUCAUGUCGAUGAGGCAAUGUGAUGGAGAAAACAAAACCAUAACAAAACGAUAUACUUCGUCACACACGCAGCCAAACGCACGCGAGUGUUGAAAGGGAAGGCGGAGCUUGGCCGUCGGAGAGAAAAAAAAAAUUCCCCGGACGUGCAACGGAAUAUCUCCAGCAGCGCAAAGGGCCUUUUUUUUUUGUCCAUCAAAAUCCCAAUACAUCAUGAGCGCCGGUGACACGCCAUCAUUUCAAGCCUUUACCAUGUUCGCCGUUUUCUACCGUGCGGAACAGGAGGGGGAGCGAAAAAACUUUUUUACGACCGACUUGUUUAGCGAAACCCACCAGUGAGUUGAUGGACGUAACGGCGGGAACGGGCUAGUGUGUGACACACUCACACGCGCGCAGAGUGGGCCAUAAACGAAAACUUCAUCCGUGUAACGCGCCCGUUGCCUAAUAAGAUUGCGUUCACUCAGCUAGAAUUGCCCACUGACUGGCCGACUGAUUUGCCCGCGUAUAACGGAUCGCGCAACAUUUUCCGCCAUUCUGAACUCCGCGUACGGUCUGCGAGUAAGAUUGUACUCGGUGCCGAAACUGGGGAGGAGCGAAACGGAACAAACGUGCGCCACUUACGAAGCGGAUUGGGGAAUGAAGGCAGCUAUAGGCCAAUUAAGCCAAUUCAAGCCAGUCUUGAGAGAUGACGGAAUAGUGGAACAAUAGAGGAAUAGCUAAGGCUGUGUGCGUAUGCUGAGAGGGCUGAAAGACAUCUUGGUGUUUAGCUAUUCCGCCAACGUUCCGUCAAUAUCCAAGGACGGACUUUUCGUGAAAACUCGGAUAGGCAAAGGAGAGAGGGAGUGAAGAAAGAAGAAAUGCGGAGCAGAGAAAACAGCUGGAUGCUGUCCACCAGCUCGCUUUUGUUAUUUACCAUUUAGAACGUGUAGAGUGACGCUGGCCAGUUGGAGGCUAGGAGGUCCACACGAGUAGUUGCCGGCAAAGUCGGGCGUGGCAGGCGGAACGUUCAAGACGGCCAGAAGAGAAUCAGGUCCCAGGCGGGUGACGCGGGCGCUCCAUCCGUUUUUCGUAGCGCCUAACGGAAAUUACAUUGCAAAUGUUCGGAGGAAAUGGACAUUGUCGUAAGAGACUCACCAGACGGCGCUAGUGCUGCCACCUCUUUGGAUCCUUCGUACGUCCGCGAUUCCUCGAGUGCCGAGCCGGCUAUCCUCUCGGUUUUAUGGUACCAAAAAAUGUACGGUG